AGACUGCUGACUCGCAUUCUUGACAUGAGCUUCUUUUGUUGCUGACUUGAAUUGCAUUCUGAGGUGAAUUUCCUUGUUCUCCGGGUGGGCGCCUGAUUGCUGAACUUGAACCGUCUUCUCUUGUUACUUGAAACUAUUUUCCCUUACACCUUGAACAAUUUUCCCUUAGAAACUUGAACUGUAUCCCUUUGAAACUGUUUUCCCUUGAAAGUUAAGUUGUCUUCCUUCGAAACUGCUUUCCCUUGAAACUAGAGUUGUCUUCCCUUGUUCUCCAGGUGGGCGCCUGAUUGCUGAACUUGACCUGUCUUCCUUUGAAACUUGAAUCAUUUUCCCUUAAAACUUGAACUAUCUUCCCUUGUUCUCCAGGUGGGCGCCUGAUUGCUGAACUUUAACUGUAUUCCCGUGCUCUCCAGGUGGGCGCCUGAUUAGCAAAACUUUAACUGUAUUCCCGUGCUCUCCAGGUGGGCGCCUGAUUGCCAAAACUUUAAAUGUAUUCCCGUGCUCUCCAGGUGGGCGCCUGAUUGCCGAACUUGAACUGUAUUCCCGUGCUCUCCAGGUAGGUGCCUAAUUGCUAAACUUUAACUGUAUUCUCGUGCUCUCCAGGUGGGCGCCUGAUUUCAACAAAAUAGACAAAACAAAGAAAAUUUUCUGCCCCAGUUUGGUAGCUGGGCACAUAUGUGAGUGUUUAUCGAAUAUUUUAAGAAUUUAAAAGCUAGAUCCCAUUAUCCAGGAGGGUCCUGGCAACUCCUAG
rnacentral:lncRNA from 1 species